rnacentral:RNase_P_RNA from 1 species
ACCUGAUGGCAGACGACCGCUGGUGAGUUGUGAAGCUCGCCAGAGGAAAGUCCGAACACCACACGGCAGCAUGCCGCGUAGAAAACGCGGGCGCCGCAUUUUGUAAAAUUGCGGCGACGGAAAGUGCCACAGAAAUGAUACCGCCAGUUCUUUGAGAAAAGUGCAGGCAAGGGUGAAAUGGCGAGGUAAGAGCUCACCGCGCGCGGAGUGAUUCGCGCGGCACGGAAAACCCCAUGCGGUGCAAGACAAAACAGGAGGAGGACAGCCGGUCCGCCAUACCCGAAGUAUUCGGGUCGACCUCCGGGUACGUCGCACCACGUUGCGCGGAAGCGUAGCGGGCGAUUCACGGAAGUGAGUUGAGAUAAAUGGUCGUCGCGGUUGCGAAAUCAGCCGCACAGAAUUCGGCUUACCGCCAUCACAUUAUG